UAAAGGUCGAAAGGGGAGAUUCAGUAUCCAUUCCUCUGCGCCGCUCCGCGCCGCGGGUACAACUCGGGGUCGCCCUUCGGGGCCGGCCCUGGGCCCGCGGCGCGGUCUCGCGCGCGCGAGGUGGAGCGCACUUCUCCCCGAGUAGGACGCCGCGACCCGUUGGGUGUCGGUCUGAGGCCCGGGUGCGAGCCCGUCCCGCGGUUUUACCGCCGCGGGGCGGAGCCCCGGUGUCCCGACCGACUGCUCGACGGUCGAACGUAAGGAACUGGCCCGCGCGCUUUCGUCGCGCGCCCGUGCCUCUUGCGAGCGUCCGGCCGAACCCGUCGUGCGGACUUGUCCGCCGCGGGCCGGCCGGCGUUGUCGGCUUGGGGACUUCUCGGGCUGCGGCCUUUCUCCCGUCUGCGGCGCUCAAAACUGGGCGGCCCACCCGGCCCGUCUUGAAACACGGACCAAGGAGUCUAACAUGUGCGCGAGUCAUUGGGUACCACUAGACCCAAGGGCGCAUUGAACGAGAAGGCCGUCCUCGUGUCGGCCGAGGGAGGAUGGGGUGCCGCUCGCGGCGCCCCCGCACUCCCGGGGCGUCUCGUCCUACCGCGGCCCGUCCGCGGAAGGUGAGGCGCACCAAGAGCGCACACGUUGGGACCCGAAAGAUGGUGAACUAUGCCUGGCCAGGACGAAGUCAGGGGAAACCCUGAUGGAGGUCCGUAGCGAUUCUGACGUGC
rnacentral:rRNA from 2 species